AUGCCUUGUGCACAUGCAAUUGCAACAAUACACACCAUUACUAGUGACUUGACAAGUUACAUUGCUAGUUGUUUUUAUGUUGAGGCAUUCAAAAGAACAUAUGCACAUUGUCUGCAACCUGUUAAUGGCAUGGAUUGUUGGCCAAUAUCACCACGGACUAGACCUGCGGCUCCUGGUUAUGUCAAGAUGCCUGGUAGGCCAAAGACUGAGAGAAGAAAGGAGGAAACUGACAAAAAAGUGUCGAAGACCAGAUUGCCAAAGACUGGGACACUCAUUAGGUGUGGUAAAUGCAAAGGAGUUGGUCACAACAGAACAAAAUGUCAUAGACAGCCAGGUGGGCAACAGAGUGGACAACAAAGUAGACAACAGAGUUCACACAGGGUGAUACUAUGUAUUACAUUGCAGGAAAAUGUUGUGCCUUCUCAACAAAGCACCAAUGAUGCAGCCACAUCUAGAGGGACAAAGAGACCAAUACCCAUGUCCAAGCCUCCUAGGCCUGCUGUCCAAGGGAAAGGGAAGAAUAUUCAGAAGAACAAGUCCUCCUCGAAGGCUGCAAUGAAAGGUGUCACUGUCAAUGUGAGUUCUAGCUCAGUUGUCACUGUUAAUGUGAAAUCAGGAAAUGCUAAUUCACAGUUCAAGGCACCUGGAAGGGACACAAAAAGGCAAAGGAAGUUACCUACA
rnacentral:rRNA from 1 species